rnacentral:rRNA from 2 species
GCAGUCGACGAACUCUGGUAUUGAUUGGUGCUUGCAUCAUGAUUUACAUUUGAGUGAGUGGCGAACUGGUGAGUAACACGUGGGAAACCUGCCCAGAAGCGGGGGAUAACACCUGGAAACAGAUGCUAAUACCGCAUAACAACUUGGACCGCAUGGUCCGAGUUUGAAAGAUGGCUUCGGCUAUCACUUUUGGAUGGUCCCGCGGCGUAUUAGCUAGAUGGUGGGGUAACGGCUCACCAUGGCAAUGAUACGUAGCCGACCUGAGAGGGUAAUCGGCCACAUUGGGACUGAGACACGGCCCAAACUCCUACGGGAGGCAGCAGUAGGGAAUCUUCCACAAUGGACGAAAGUCUGAUGGAGCAACGCCGCGUGAGUGAAGAAGGGUUUCGGCUCGUAAAACUCUGUUGUUAAAGAAGAACAUAUCUGAGAGUAACUGUUCAGGUAUUGACGGUAUUUAACCAGAAAGCCACGGCUAACUACGUGCCAGCAGCCGCGGUAAUACGUAGGUGGCAAGCGUUGUCCGGAUUUAUUGGGCGUAAAGCGAGCGCAGGCGGUUUUUUAAGUCUGAUGUGAAAGCCUUCGGCUCAACCGAAGAAGUGCAUCGGAAACUGGGAAACUUGAGUGCAGAAGAGGACAGUGGAACUCCAUGUGUAGCGGUGAAAUGCGUAGAUAUAUGGAAGAACACCAGUGGCGAAGGCGGCUGUCUGGUCUGUAACUGACGCUGAGGCUCGAAAGUAUGGGUAGCAAACAGGAUUAGAUACCCUGGUAGUCCAUACCGUAAACGAUGAAUGCUAAGUGUUGGAGGGUUUCCGCCCUUCAGUGCUGCAGCUAACGCAUUAAGCAUUCCGCCUGGGGAGUACGGCCGCAAGGCUGAAACUCAAAGGAAUUGACGGGGGCCCGCACAAGCGGUGGAGCAUGUGGUUUAAUUCGAAGCUACGCGAAGAACCUUACCAGGUCUUGACAUACUAUGCAAAUCUAAGAGAUUAGACGUUCCCUUCGGGGACAUGGAUACAGGUGGUGCAUGGUUGUCGUCAGCUCGUGUCGUGAGAUGUUGGGUUAAGUCCCGCAACGAGCGCAACCCUUAUUAUCAGUUGCCAGCAUUAAGUUGGGCACUCUGGUGAGACUGCCGGUGACAAACCGGAGGAAGGUGGGGAUGACGUCAAAUCAUCAUGCCCCUUAUGACCUGGGCUACACACGUGCUACAAUGGAUGGUACAACGAGUUGCGAACUCGCGAGAGUAAGCUAAUCUCUUAAAGCCAUUCUCAGUUCGGAUUGUAGGCUGCAACUCGCCUACAUGAAGUCGGAAUCGCUAGUAAUCGCGGAUCAGCAUGCCGCGGUGAAUACGUUCCCGGGCCUUGUACACACCGCCCGUCACACCAUGAGAGUUUGUAACACCCAAAGUCGGUGGGGUAACCUUUUAGG